AGUGAACGCUGGCGGUAGGCUUAACACAUGCAAGUCGAACGGCAGCACAGUAAUAGCUUUCUCUUACGGGUGGCGAGUGGCGGACGAGUGAUGAAUACAUCGGAAUCUACUUUUUCGUGGGGGAUAACGUAGGGAAACUUACGCUAUUACCGCAUACGACCUACGGGUGAAAGCAUGGGAUCUUCGGACCUUGCGCGAUUGAAUGAGCCGAUGUCGGAUUAGCUAGUUGGCGGGGUAAAGGCCCACCAAGGCGACGGUCCGUAGCUGGUCUGAGAGGAUGAUCAGCCACACUGGAACUGAGACACGGUCCAGACUCCUACGGGAGGCAGCAGUGGGGAAUAUUGGACAAAGGGCGCAAGCCUGAUCCAGCCAUACCGCGUGGGUGAAGAAGGCCUUCGGGUUGUAAAGCACUUUUGUUGGGAAAGAAAAGCAGCAGGUUAAUACCACGCUGUUCUGACGGUACCCAAAGAAUAAGCACCGGCUAACUUCGUG
rnacentral:rRNA from 1 species